AAUUACUAUUCAAAGGACAUUGACAGAAGUUGAGUAAUAAUACUAAGCAUAGUCUACGCUUAGUAUUAUUUCCUUCAUAUCAGCAGGUCUCUUAUUCAGGUUAUGAGACCACUUUGAAAUUAGUGGAGAGAAAAGUUAAUGCUAAACUAAUAUUUGUUUUUUUGCAAAUCAAGGAGAUAAGUCAUUUCAAUGUCCCUGAUGGUUCCAUCUAGAAAUAGAGAUCACAGGUGAUGAAGGAGAUGAUAAUGAUGGUGAUAAUAAGGAUGGCAGUAAUGAGAAAAGCUUCAAUCAACUGGGUGUCUAAUUUGGGACAUGUCUCAAUCAGAAUAGAAUAAGCUUGAGGCACCAUGACACAGAAAACAAGGACACAUGACUUCAGAUACUUAAGAAAACUCAUGUCAUCAAAUCACAUCAAGAACAUUGGAUGGCACAUCAAGACCUUCGUAAUAAGCUCACUCACUGUAAAAUAUGGAGACUGGUAGUAUAUAUACCCUCAGAAAAAGUUAUUAUGAGAGUUCAAGAAAGUGGCCCUUGCAGAAUGCACAAAGCAGUACUGGUCACAUAGAGGCACUCAUCAGUAUUAUCUGUGUAUCAUCAAGAUCAUCAUCAUCCCCAUCACCAUGCCGAUCAUCCUUUCAACCAUGGAAUGCUGCUGACAUAAGCAAGUGACAAGUCACAUUCUGCUUGACGUCCUGGUGCUGUGGCUCACGCCUGUAAUCCCAGGACUUUGGGAGGCCGAGGCGGGCAGAUCACGAGGUCAGGAGUUUGAGACCAGCCUGGCCAACAUGGUGAAACCCUAUCUCUACUAAAAAUACAAAAAUUAGCUGGACGCAGUGGCACGUACCUAUAAUCCCAGCCACUUGGGAGGCUGAGGCAGGAGAAUUGCUUGAAUCUGGGGGGUGGAGCUUGCAGUGAGCCAAGAUCGCGCCAGUGCACUCCAGCCUGGGUGACAGAGUGAGACUCCAUCUCAAAAAACAAACAAACAAACA